rnacentral:rRNA from 1 species
AUUGAACGCUGGCGGCAGGCUUAACACAUGCAAGUCGAGCGGAGAUGAGGUGCUUGCACCUUAUCUUAGCGGCGGACGGGUGAGUAAUGCUUAGGAAUCUGCCUAUUAGUGUGGGACAACAUUCCGAAAGGAAUGCUAAUACCGCAUACGUCCUACGGGAGAAAGCAGGGGAUCUUCGGACCUUGCGCUAAUAGAUGAGCCUAAGUCGGAUUAGCUAGUUGGUGGGGUAAAGGCCUACCAAGGCGACGAUCUGUAGCGGGUCUGAGAGGAUGGUCCGCCACACUGGGACUGAGACACGGCCCAGACUCCUACGGGAGGCAGCAGUGGGGAAUAUUGGACAAUGGGGGGAACCCUGAUCCAGCCAUGCCGCGUGUGUGAAGAAGGCCUUAUGGUUGUAAAGCACUUUAAGCGAGGAGGAGGCUUCUGAGACUAAUACUCUUGGAUAGUGGACGUUACUCGCAGAAUAAGCACCGGCUAACUCUGUGCCAGCCGCCGCGGUAAGAC